GACGAACGCUGGCGGCGUGCCUAAUACAUGCAAGUUGAGCGCUGAAGGUUGGUACUUGUACCAACUGGAUGAGCAGCGAACGGGUGAGUAACGCGUGGGGAAUCUGCCUUUGAGCGGGGGACAACAUUUGGAAACGAAUGCUAAUACCGCAUAAAAACUUUAAACACAAGUUUUAAGUUUGAAAGAUGCAAUUGCAUCACUCAAAGAUGAUCCCGCGUUGUAUUAGCUAGUUGGUGAGGUAAAGGCUCACCAAGGCGAUGAUACAUAGCCGACCUGAGAGGGUGAUCGGCCACAUUGGGACUGAGACACGGCCCAAACUCCUACGGGAGGCAGCAGUAGGGAAACUUCGGCAAUGGACGAAAGUCUGACCGAGCAACGCCGCGUGAGUGAAGAAGGUUUUCGGGUCGUAAAACUCUGUUGGUAGAGAAGAACGUUGGUGAGAGUGGAAAGCUCAUCAAGUGACGGUAACUACCCAGAAAGGGACGGCUAACUACGUG
rnacentral:rRNA from 1 species